rnacentral:rRNA from 1 species
UACGUAGGGUGCUAGCGUUGUCCGGAUUUAUUGGGCGUAAAGAGCUCGUAGGCGGCUCGUUGCGUCAACCGUGAAAACCCGGGGCUCAACUCCGGGCCUGCAGCCGAUACGGGCAGACUAGAGUUCGGCAGGGGAGACUGGAAUUCCUGGUGUAGCGGUGAAAUGCGCAGAUAUCAGGAGGAACACCGGUGGCGAAGGCGGGUCUCUGGGCCGAUACUGACGCUGAGGAGCGAAAGCGUGGGGAGCGAACAGG